GAUCCUGGCUCAGGAUGAACGCUGGCGGCGUGCUUAACACAUGCAAGUCGAACGAAGAUACUUAAAAUGAGAGCUUCGGCAGGAUUUUUAUUUAUCUUAGUGGCGGACGGGUGAGUAACGCGUGGGUAACCUGCCUUAUACUGGGGGAUAACAGCCAGAAAUGACUGCUAAUACCGCAUAAGCGCACAGAACCGCAUGGUUCCGUGUGAAAAACUCCGGUGGUAUAAGAUGGACCCGCGUUGGAUUAG
rnacentral:rRNA from 1 species